UCGGAUCGAUUAGCCUGCUAGUUGCGCGAGUUCAGACUCGCAGCAGAUAGCUCAGUAACACGUGGUCAAGCUACCCUGCAGACACGGACAACCUCGGGAAACUGAGGCUAAUCCGCGAUACCGAUCCCACGCUGGAAUGCCGGGAUCCACAAACGCUCCGGCGCUGCAGGAUGCGGCUGCGGCCGAUUAGGUAGACGGUGGGGUAACGGCCCACCGUGCCGAUAAUCGGUACGGGUUGUGAGAGCAAGAGCCCGGAGACGGAAUCUGAGACAAGAUUCCGGGCCCUACGGGGCGCAGCAGGCGCGAAACCUUUACACUGCACGCAAGUGCGAUAAGGGGACUCCGAGUGCGAGGGCAUAUAGUCCUCGCUUUUGAGAACCGUAAGGUGGUUCUCGAAUAAGAGCUGGGCAAGACCGGUGCCAGCCGCCGCGGUAAUACCGGCAGCUCAAGUGAUGGCCAAUCUUAUUGGGCCUAAAGCGUCCGUAGCUGGCCGUGAAAGUUCGUCGGGAAAUCCAUCCGCUCAACGGAUGGGCGUCCGGCGAAAACUUCACGGCUUGGGACCGGAAGGCUCGAGGGGUACGUCCGGGGUAGGAGUGAUAUCCUGUAAUCCUGGACGGACCGCCGAUGGCGAUAGCACCUCGAGAAGACGGAUCCGACAGUGAGGGACGAAAGCUAGUGUCUCGAACUGGAUUAGAUACCCGCGUAGUCCUAGCCGUAAACGAUGUUCACUAGGUGUGGCACAGGCUACGAGCCUGUGCUGUGUCGUACGUAAGCCGAGAAGUGAACCGCCUGGGAAGUACGUCUGCAAGGA
rnacentral:rRNA from 1 species